UUGAGCUUCAGCUGGCUGCACGUGAGGACUCAGAGUAGGUACACAAUAGCGGUCAUUUAGUGAAGACCUGAGGCAAAUCAGUGACCAGACUUAGAAGGCGAAAGGAACGAUAGUUGGGUAGCCAAACAUUUCCACAAAAGGAUUGCUGAGAAGAUUAAACGAGUGGGCCCUCAAUUCAGUGACUGGCAU